AGGACGAACGCUGGCGGCGUGCUUAACACAUGCAAGUCGAGCGGAAAGGCCCUUCGGGGUACUCGAGCGGCGAACGGGUGAGUAACACGUGAGUAAUCUGCCCCUAGCUCUGGGAUAGCUCCGGGAAACCGGGAUUAAUACCGGAUACGACCACCUUAGACAUCUUUUGUGGUGGAAAGAAUUUCGGCUAGGGAUGAGCUCGCGGCCUAUCAGCUUGUUGGUGGGGUAACGCCUACCAAGGCGACGACGGGUAGCCGGCCUGAGAGGGCGACCGGCCACACUGGGACUGAGACACGGCCCAGACUCCUACGGGAGGCAGCAGUGGGGAUAUUGCGCAAUGGGCGAAAGCCUGACGCAGCGACGCCGCGUGGGGGAUGAAGGCCUUCGGGUUGUAAACCCCGUUUCAGCAGGGACGAAGCGAAAGUGACGGUACCUGCAGAAGAAGCGCCGGCUAACUACGUGCCAGCAGCCGC
rnacentral:rRNA from 1 species